rnacentral:tRNA from 1 species
GCGCCCGUAGCUCAACGGAUAGAGCAACGGCCUUCUAAGCCGUGGGUUGCAGGUUCGAGUCCUGCCGGGCGCG